UCUUAGCAGGCGAUUCUUCCACGGCGCUCGAAGCGCGUCGUGGUAUUUCGCGUAUUGUAAUUUCAACACGAGCGGGGUCAAAUCCUUUGCAGACGACUUAGCUGUGCGAAACGGUCCUGUAAGCAGUAGAGUAGCCUUGUUGUUACGAUCUGCUGAGGGUAAGCCGUCCUUCGCCUCGAUUU
rnacentral:rRNA from 1 species